UUAUUCCUUGUAAAGUUUGUGUUUUUUAUUUUCCUUUCGCUCAAACUUAAUCUGUUCCUUCACCUCCCCUCCCCAUGCCUUCGUUUGCUAUUUAAAAAUGGCAACAUACAAAUGGGUCAGGCAGUUCAAGAGGUAUUGACUUUUCAUUGCUUUACUGGUAUAAUAGAAAAUAAAAAGGGUUGUAUGGCAGUCUGGUUAAACAGUCCAUUUCAGAUCUGUGCCCGGUACUCAGGUAGUGGUAGAAUAAAUGGGGUAGAAUCAGGAUCUGUUUUUCAGUUUUUUAGCCUGUUGGGCUAGGCAGGGGGGCGUGCAGAAUACUGUUGACCAGAGUAGGAAUGUCUCUCUUAUCCUCUUGAGAGAUCUCGAUGAAACUUUUCAGGAGAGGUUAACAGACUAUUUCCAUGAGAUUUUCAGCCUUGUUUCUUUCAUCACAAUAAGACACUUUUCCGUGCCACUCUGCAAUGAGUUUGGCAGGCACCAUUGUGGUAAACAGCCUAUCCGCAUUUCGGCCUGGGCGGCUUCGGGAUGCCAGUAGAACCUGGGCUCUUUGUGCCUUCGUCACCCUCAGGAGUGAGAGAUCAGGUAAAAUCAUUGCUUAUGAAAAUAGUGCCAAUAUGUUCACUUCCAUUUCCCUAUAUCAUACUUAGGGAGGGUGCCUAACUUAAUAAUAAUGUGCAGAAGAACACUCCUCCUCCUCCUCCUGGUGAUGCCAUACCCACUAUGGUUUGAGCUGGAGAGCGGUGCUGUAGCGAGGCACUCUAAAGCUAAAGUGUCAAUAAGCAUUUAUUAAAGUAACUUUUUGUGUGCUGGACUAAAGGGGUCACCCCUCCGCUUCCCUGAAUGUCUGAUCCUGAUCCUGAGGAAAAGGAAGAAAACUAGGGAGGAUAUGUUCCACGAGAUCCUCCAAACCACAGUUGCCUUGCACAGUGAUCACAGGUGUUGGGGUGCCCUUCACAAGGUGAACGAGGAGAAAAUGAAUGGAGAAAGCUGUGAUUGCAGGACAGGCAAAAGGACCGAGAGGCGCAUCAGAAAAUGCACCAGGACAUAACGGGAUUGCUCAGGAAACAAACACAAAUGUUGCAGAGUAUGAUUGAUCUACAGUCCCAAAGAUCUUUGCAGUCUUUGGAGAACAUCAUAGCUGCUGCUUCCUCCAACUCACAAUAUUCCAUGUGGCACUGUGCUGCACAUUCUUACCCCAUCACUGUAUGCCGGGGGACAAGAAGAAGAACUAUUUCUACACAUUACACUAACUUGUUGAAACCACAGAUCAAUGUGUAUGUAGCCACAAUGCACUGCACUGAACUAUUUACAUACAUGGACAUACAUGUUUACUGUUUACUUCCAUUUUCAUUUGGGAUUGUUGGCAAAAGUAUUUCUUAACAUGCUAUGUGUGUAUUUGCAGUUUAAUUUUGUUAACUGCUGUUUUGCGCACAAUAAAGUUCUAUUUUUGUAAA